rnacentral:rRNA from 60 species
UGCAGAAUCCCGUGAAUCAUCGAGUCUUUGAACGCAAGUUGCGCCCGAGGCUCCGGCCGAGGGCACGUCUGCCUGGGCGACGCAC